CCGUUCAGGAGCAGCAAAAGCAGCAAGCUGGCUGUGAUCACUUACUUGUCCGUCUCUUGUGACAUGUUUGAUCCAAUGAACUCUCUCCCCUUUUCCAGGUGCCUCAGUCUCUCUGGUGAAACUGGACUUUCAAGUCUGUGCAGCCAGCCGCGGAGGUAGGAGUGGGACAGGUAAAGCCCCCUUCUCCCCGCCCCUCGCAUGUGGAAAGAAGACUGGCUGGGCUCUGGGCUUUUUCGCUCUCCCUCCCCCUGCUGUUUAGGGCUCCGAGCAGGGAAGCAGCAAAGUCUAAAGGCGCCUACAGGUAACUUUCCCAAGAGAAGCUGGAUUCUUUCACUAGAGAAUAGAAGGCAGAGGGACGAGCUGCGAGCUGAUUGGGCAGAGCUGGCCCUCAGGUGAGCAGCCAUUGGAAGAGGCGCGCUCAGAUCAUUGAAAGGGCUGCUUCUGUGGGCUGGCAUCUUUACCACAAGACAUCUCCAAAGUCCUCCAGCCGCCGCCUCCUAGAACAGAAGCUCUCAGCCUGGGGUCCCCAUUUGUGGCUGUGGAUUAUGGGAAUUGCAGUCCAACAUCAUCUGAGGACCUGAGCUUCAGAAUCCCUGCUCUGGAGCAAAGAUCCUGGUACCUGGAUUAUAUCGUCAAUUUCCAGGGGCAGAAGACAGCACCAUAAACAACCCUACAGCUCCCUAAUACAGUAAACCAGCGUAUUUGCUCUAUGCCAGUCCUGUAAUCCAUGCAGUUUCACAUGGCUUUUCAAUUCUGACUGUUUAGAAAAGGGCUUCCCUGCAAAGAAAAGGGCUUCCCUGCAUUCAUUCAAAAAAGAGGAAAAAUGAGUCAAAACGCUUCGUGUCAUGUUAGCAUUUCUUACAACCUGCAGUUUCACUGUAUCAUCCAUGGAGCGACUGUUAUGAGGAAGCAGCGGGAAAGGGGACUCAUAGCUACCCCUAUGGAGUAAUGUUCAUAUAAAGAGAUGAAAUUGGGAUAAAAGGUUGAGUAAAAAUAUGGAUGAAUAUUUGUAGAAGUUGGAUCUAUUCUAAGCCAUAUUCUCAACCAGGAGCAAAGUUCUGACUAGGAUCCUUUGUACAUAUGUAUUGGAUUCUAUCACAUGGUGAGCAAAUUGCACAUUAGAAAACAAAUGGUGUCUAAAUCUAUAUGGAGGGUCUUGGUAUUAAAUUAACACACUGCUAGCCUACAAACAUUUUUACUCUCUAUAUUUGUGGCGCACCGACAGUCUGAAGAAUGAAUGAAUGAAUGAAUGAACGAAUGAAUGAAUAUCUUCCAGUUAGAUUUAGAUUUGUUUUUAGACUUAUAUUAACUGAAUUUUUAAAAUUUGUUUUUAUUGCUGAUCACCUUGGGAGCUGUUAAUGAUGGAAAUACGUUCUAUAUAAAAAUAGUAAAUACUGUAAAUGCAAUACGAACAUAGUAAAUAAAGCUUCUCUGCCUA